UGGGGAAUAUUGGACAAUGGGCGAAAGCCUGAUCCAGCCAUGCCGCGUGAGUGACGAAGGCCUUAGGGUUGUAAAACUCUUUCGUCGGGGACGAUAAUGACGGUACCCGAAGAAGAAGCUCCGGCUAACUUCGUGCCAGCAGCCGCGGUAAUACGAAGGGAGCUAGCGUUGUUCGGAAUCACUGGGCGUAAAGCGCACGUAGGCGGAUAGUUAAGUCAGGGGUGAAAUCCUGGGGCUCAACCCCAGAACUGCCUUUGAUACUGGCUGUCUCGAGGUCGAGAGAGGUUGGUGGAAUUCCUAGUGUAGAGGUGAAAUUCGUAGAUAUUAGGAAGAACACCAGUGGCGAAGGCGGCCAACUGGCUCGAUACUGACGCUGAGGUGCGAAAGCGUGGGGAGCAAACAGGAUUAGAUACCCACGUAGUCCCUGAGCGGGC
rnacentral:rRNA from 1 species